AGUGGGUUGGCCUAGUGGUAAGGCGUCUCUCUCACAAUUCUCUUUGGUACGUAGAGUAGGAGAGCAGAGAAAAUCAUGAGUUCGAUCCUCAUACUCACUA